UGGAAAAUCCCGUAAAUAGGUGACAGCUAC
rnacentral:piRNA from 1 species